rnacentral:lncRNA from 1 species
CUCCUGCUCCUUCUGCCAUGAUUGUAACUUUUCUGAAGCCUCCCCAGUCAUGCUUCUUGUACAGUCUGCAGAACGGUCUUGCAACUUGGCUUCAAUCUGCACAGAAGAAUCAGUUUUAAAAGGUGAUGAGAAGCGAGAAGGAGAGAAGAGCUGCGGCCCUUCGGGGAGCCCAGACCUUGUUGCUCUCUGAGCCAUGGCUGUGACACCCUCUUUGGAGCUCUGUGGUUCCUGGUGUCUCCAAGCUUCCAGGCUCCACCAUCACAUUCCCUGGUGCCUGGAAGCUGCUUGUGGUACUCCUGGUCCAUCUACAACCUCACAGGGAACGAGCGCCUAUGCGGGCACCUGAAGCUGCCUGCCCUGCCACAGCGUGCCUGGUUAUGUGCAGUGGCGGGACCCCAGGCUCACUCACUCACACAGCCGUCACUGCUCCACGCCUCGCUCGCCCUUGGCAGGCGUGGAAUCCAGACCGGUAGCGUAAGCCAAGCGCAGCCUGCCAGGCCAACUGUGUGCAAUGAGCCCAGUGGGCCUCAGCAAAACUCGGGCAAAGGUGCCACCAGCCACAGAGUUUCUGGCCAGAAAAGUGACACUCCAAGGAUCCUGUGACAGUUUCACACCUAACAAGCUGGAAAGUGUGUGCCUAUAACUGUUCAAAACAGGUCCUUCCUCACCUACAAAAAGAAGUAUUUCUUCUUCAUACAUUGAGCACCACAUCAACAGGGUCUCACUCCAUUGCCUACACUGGAGUGCAGUGGCACGAUCUUGGGUUACUGCACCCUCUGCCUCCUGGGCUCAAGUGAUCCUCCCACUUCAGCCUCCUGAGUAGUUGGAACUACAGGAUCUCUAUUGAGCUGGGUAGAACUUCCUUCCUUGGGAUGGCAGUAAGAACCAAAGCAAGAAAUGAAAGCAACGUGUUUCCACACAUCUAAGAACUCAAAACAUUUCCAAAAGCCACCAUAAUUGGUUUGACCUUAUCCUUGUCCUGGAAUUUUCAGUGAUGUCUUUCUUGUAGAACAGAUUAAGCAGCAUAGCUUCAUUUAAUGUAUUUAUGAUGAUUUCUGACCAUAUUACCAAAAGGCGUAACAGUGGUACCAAGGGAGUUAACAAUUGCAAAGGUGCAUUAUUGUUCUCUUAUUACUUGGUUGGGCUACUAAUUUUUUUUUUUUUUUUUUUUUUUGAGAUGGAGUCUCACUCUGUCACCCAGGCUGGAGUGCAGUGGUGCAAUCUCGGCUCACUGCAAGCUCAGCCUCCAGGGUUCAUGCCAUUCUCCUGCCUCAGCCUCCCAAGUAGCUGGGGCUACAGGCACCCGCCACCACGCCCGGCUAAUUGUUUGUAUUUUUAGUAGAGACGGGGUUUCACCGUGUUAGCCAGGAUGGUCUCAAUCUCCUGACCUCGUGAUCUGCCCUCCUUGGCCUCCCAAAGUGCUGGGAUUACAGGCAUGAGCCACCACGCCUGGCCUGGGCUACUGAUUUUUAAAAAUUAGAAUGUAUUAAAGUAAACACACAAAAUGAAAUGUAGCCAUAUAAAAUAUAGACUUUAAGUUUUGACCAAUGUAUGCACCUUUCUAGUCAUCAACAUGAUCAAUGUUGUGUUUACUGUACAUUCAGUAAGAUAUUUCCAUCACAAUAAAAGUUUUUCUCAUAUCUAUUUGCCAUCAGUUCCCCAACCUCUUGCCUCAGGAAACCAGCAGUCUGCUUUUUGUCACCAUUGAUUCGUUUAUCUUGUACUAGAAAUCAAUGUAGAUGAAAUCAUACAGUAUGUAUUCUCUUUCAUCUGCCUUCUUUUCCUCACAACAUUUUUUAGAUUGAUCCAGGCCAUUGUGGGUAUCAGUAGCUCAUUACUCUUUAUUGCUCAGUAAUAUUUUGUCCUAGGGUUAUACCAAAAUGUGUUUAUCCAUUCACUUAACAAUGGACAUUUAACAUGUUUCCAGUUAAAGGUUAUUAUGAAUAAAGCUGUUAUAAACAUUUGUGGAAAAAUUUUUGUGCCAAGUUAUGUCUUUAUUUUUAGGGUAUAAAUACCUAAAAGGGGAAUUGUUGAAUUGUGUGGUAACUAUAUUUUUAAUUUUGAAAAAAUUUUCCAAACUGUUUUCAGAGGGAAUUAUGUCAUUUUAUAUUAGUAUGACAGUUUCCAUUGCCCCGUGUCUUUACAAACACUUGAUUUUGUCUAUCUCUCUAUUUUUAACCAUCCUGAAUGUUGUGUAAUAGUAUCUUAUUUUGGUUUUCAUUUGUUUAUGCCUGAUUACUAGUGAUGUUGAGCACAGUUUCAUGUUGUCUUUUCAUGUUGCCAUUUCUAUGUACUUUUGUGAAAUAUCUAUUCAAAUAUUGAUUUUUUUUAAAAAAAAUGGGUUAUUUGUCUUUAUAUUAUAGAAUUGUAGAAAUUUUCUAUAUAAUUUGAAAAUCAGUGCUUUGGCUGAUAUACAUAUUGACAAUAUUUUUCCUAGUCUGCAGUUUGACUUCUCAUUUUCUGAAUGAUGUCUUUUGGAGGGAAGAAGUUCUUAGUUUUGAUGAAGUACAUUAUAUUAUUAUUUACAUUAUAGUUUGUGUAUUUUAUUUCCUAUGUAAGAUAUCCUUACCUACCUAAUUUUAUUAAUACUUUCCCUUAUAUUUUCUUCUAGAAGAUGUAUACUUUUAGUUUGUGACUGCAGGUGUAGAAUUUAUUUUGAGUUAUUUCUGUAUGAUGCAAAGUGAAGGUCAAAAUUUAUUUACUUAUUUUCCAAAAAAGAUUAUCCUGCUUUUCUAGCCCCAUUAUUUUAAAAGAUUAUCUUUCUCCUCAAUAAUACAUUGGCUUACUUAUUGAAACAAACUGACCUUACACGUGUAGGUUUAUUUCUGGACACUACUGUCUGUUCUGUUCUACUGAGGUAUAUACCUAUCAUGAUGCAAAUUUCAUGCUUAUACUAAGACUGAAAUGGGGUAGUGAGAAUUCUUCAAUUUUGUUCUUCUUUUUCACAAUGGUUUUGGUCAUUGUCGGUUCUUUGUAUUUUCUAAAUUAUUUUAGAAUCUUCUUGACAAUUUCUGUAAAAAUUAUGUGCUUUGAUUUUGAUCAGCCUUGUAUUGAAACCAUAGAUCAAUUUUGAAGAAUUGCCACCUUAUUGAGGUUUCUAAUCCAUGAGUAUGUCAUAUUUUUCUACACAAUUAGAUAUUGUAUAAUUUGUCCCAGCAGUUUUCUGGGAUAAACAUUUAUGUACAAAUCUUCAUGCCAAGUUAUGUCUUUAUUUCUUUGGGGUAAAUACUUAAGAGUGGAAUAGUUGGAUUGUGUGGUGUGUAUAUGUUUAAUUUUGUAAGACAUUUCCAAAGUGUUUUCAGAGGGAAUUGUGCCAUUUUAUAUUAAUAUGAAAGUUUAUAUUGCUCCAUGUCUUUACAAACACUUGAUUUUGCCCAUCUCUUUAGGGGGAUUACACAUCUUUUUUGAUACAUUUUUAAUAAAUAUAUUAAGCUUUUUGGCACUGCUAGAAAUAUUUUUUAUUUCAUUUUAUUAUUGUGUAUUUCUUGUAUUAGAUAUAAAAUUGAUAUUUAUAUGUUGACCUUGUAUCCUGUGCCCAUUGCUAAAUUCACUUAUUCCAUCUAAUAGAUUUUUGAGAGUCCUUGGAUUUUUAUGCGUAUGUGAUCUCAUAUACGACCACAAAAUAUCUUGACAUUUUAAUCUCUUCCUUUCCAAUAUGUGAAUUUCUUACUUAUUUUAAUCUUUGUCACACUGUUCAGGAGCUCCAGUGGAAUAUUUAAUAUAACUGAUAACAAGGAGUAUCUAUGCUUUCGUUUCUAAUCUUGAGUUGUAGAAGGUCACACUGACUUAACAGCAUUUCAUAACAGUGCAGGUCUUUUGUAAGCACUGUUUUAACAGAUUCAGUAAGUGUUCUUUUUUUUUUUUUCUCUUUUUAAAAUUUUCUGUUUUAUUAAAAACAAUAUAUUUUCAUUAUAUAACUUUAGAAAAUGCAGAAAACUGUGGGUAAGAAUUAAACGUGUGUGUGUAUACUUUUUUAAAAAGUUGGUCGUAAUGUAUAUAUUGUUUUCUUUGAUUUUGUUUAAUGUAUAACCGUUUCCC